GUGAGGUAACGGCUCACCAAGGCAUCGACGGGUAGCUGGUCUGAGAGGAUGAUCAGCCACACUGGAACUGAGACACGGUCCAGACUCCUACGGGAGGCAGCAGUGGGGAAUCUUGCACAAUGGGCGAAAGCCUGAUGCAGCGAUGCCGCGUGCGGGAAGAAGGCCCUAGGGUUGUAAACCGCUUUCAGGAGGGAAGAAAAUGACGGUACCUCCAGAAGAAGGUGCGGCCAACUACGUGCCAGCAGCCGCGGUAACACGUAGGCACCAAGCGUUAUCCGGAUUUAUUGGGCGUAAAGAGCUCGUAGGCGGUUCAGUCAGUCGGGUGUGAAAACUUGAGGCUUAACCUCAAGAGGUCACUCGAUACUACUGUGACUAGAGUGCGGUAGGGGAGCGGGGAAUUCCUGGUGUAGCGGUGAAAUGCGCAGAUAUCAGGAGGAACACCAGCGGCGAAGGCGCCGCUCUGGGCCGUAACUGACGCUGAGGAGCGAAAGCAUGGGUAGCAAACAGGAUUAGAUACCCUGGUAGUCCAUGCCGUAAACGUUGGGCACUAGGUGUGGGUCUCAACCAACGAGAUCCGCGCCGUCGCUAACGCAUUAAGUG
rnacentral:rRNA from 1 species